ACCCCAAUUUAUUCUACCUACAAUCCACCCCACCCCAUCACAAUCUUUUUUCAUAUUUUGCUCAUUCUUUGUUUCUUCCCACCAAUCAGCCUCUUUCGAUGAUGAUAGACUCGACACGAACACCUAAUCAACGUCGAUGAUCUCAGCAAGAAAUCAAGGAUGAAAUCUGCCGCGAACUUCAAUUUCGUCGCUAGAAUCGCCGACCUCUAAGAUUCCAACUCUUUUUCCUCCACUAUCGACCAGACUGAAAUGUUCAAGUCCGUUGGCACUUCAUCGUCUCCAUUGAGGCCUUUAAUCCCUGGUUGAAAAUCAAAGUACUCCGAAAACCUUAAUCCUGGUUCACCUUCUUCAUUUCGUCAAGUUUCGACCAAUGUGUCUUUCUCCUUAUUCAUCCUACCACUGAGGGUUGCUUCCCCUUCUGAUCCUUAUGCCCUUCCUUUGAUAUAUUAGGGUUCUUUGUUUUUCCUCCUUUUUUUCUAUUUGAUUCUUUUCUCACUCCCUCUUUUUUCUUUUCAAGUGGUGGAGACUAGUUUACAUUGCAGUAGACAUUUCAGUUACAAAAACUCUACCUAUUGCUAUUUGAUUAGAUAUUUCAGCUACGUGAAUGGAUAUUAAAAGCAUGGUGUGGUCAUCAUAAUCGACGGUUUUGUUGAGGUCAAAGAGAUACGGGAAGAGUAAAUGCACAUCAAAAGGUGAGAGAAUAUCAAAGAACAUGUAAAUUUGAUUUUGUUAAUUAAAGAACAUGUAAAUUUGCUCCUAUUUGAACAAUUACAUGGUGUAUAUCAAAGGUAUUCUUGUUAUUUGUUUUGAUGCAA